rnacentral:rRNA from 1 species
ACCCAGACUCCUACGGGAGGCAGCAGUGGGGAAUAUUGCACAAUGGGGGAAACCCUGAUGCAGCGACGCCGCGUGAGUGAAGAAGUACUUCGUUAUGUAAAGCUCUAUCAGCAGGGAAGAAAAUGACGGUACCUGAGUAAGAAGCCCCGGCUAACUACGUGCCAGCAGCCGCGGUAAUACGUAGGGGGCAAGCGUUAUCCGGAUUUACUGGGUGUAAAGGGAGCGUAGACGGCAUGGCAAGUCAGAUGUGAAAGCCCGGGGCUCAACCCCGGAACUGCAUUUGAAACUGUCAGGCUGGAGUGCAGGAGAGGUAAGUGGAAUUCCUAGUGUAGCGGUGAAAUGCGUAGAUAUUAGGAAGAACACCAGUGGCGAAGGCGGAUUACUGGACGAUAACUGACGGUGAGGCGCGAAAGCGUGGGGAGCAAACAGGAUUAGAUACCCUAGUAU